GGCAAGAUGGCCGAGCGGUUAUGGCGGAAGGUUCAAGGGUAACAAAUCCUUACCUGUACAACAGGUAGUAUUCUUCUGGGGCAACCCGCGUGGGUUCGAAUCCCACUCUUGUCA